CAUCCCAUAACACUGUCCUAACUGACCCCCAAACCCCGAAAACCCCUUCAUUUUUCAUCUCCCUCAUCUCCAUUCCAAAACCUAGCCGCCCUAGUUUUCCCCAAACCCUUGUGACCGGCGGCCACACUCCAAAUCCCUCCAAAUCUUCACUCUACAAUCCCUAGCUUUCCUAUAUAGCUAAUCUCCUAUCAAUUUGUCCUAAAUCCUUGCAAAUCCCUCAAUUUUCAAAUCAGAAAGAUUGUUUAAGCCCUAACCAUUCUUUGUUGAGAUUUUCUUGGUCUUUUGAGUUUUAAAUUGACAUCAGUCGAUUUCUUUGAUAAGAGCAAUUGACUGAUGUUAAUCUUAACUCAUAGCAUGAUCAUCCGAACUAGGUUAAAAUGACGCUCAAUCGGCGCUGAUUCUGUUUGAAUUUCUUCCAAGAAGUUUCAUAAUGGUAUGCUUGAUGGCAGUGAGUUGAGUUGAAGUUUUUUUUAAUGAAUUUCCCGCUUAAUGGGUUUGUAAUGUUUAAAGGCUUGAGACUUUGUUGAUCUUUCAUUAAUCCCCAUGAGCAUCCCUGAUACGUUAUUUCUUUUUGUGUAAAUUGUUUUAGAUGAAAAUUAUCCAAAUCUA